rnacentral:lncRNA from 10 species
AGGAGAGAAGCUGGUAACAGAUGGGGCGAAGGAGGAAAAGUUCUUUUUGCGGCACCCUCACGCCUUCCCAGCCCUUUCGCGGUUUACUCGCUCCCCGGAAAGCAGGUUAGAGCAUCCCAAAAUUUCAUGUCCCCAAGACCCCCAAAGGGGAAAUUAACCACCCUCGGGCACCGAGCUGUUCGUCUCCAUUUCCCACAACUCAACCAACUCGGCCUGCCUACUCCAGCUCAGGCUGCAAAGCGCUCACCCAGGUGACUGGAGGGGAAGGGUCGCCAGGUGGCGACCAGCUCAGCGGGGUGGACGCAACCGCCCGGACCGGGACGCGGGUCUCCUGGCCUCCCGCAGAGACGCCUGCCCAGUAGUUGUGCAGAUUCGGGUUCUGGGGUGCGUGCGCGCGCGCCGGGCGCGGUGAAGCCGGACUCGCCCCCGCCGGGCUAAGCUACCAGCAAGCCACCAAAUCGAAAAUCAAACUUUAACCGGCCUCCUGGGGUCCUGCUCCGGGCCCUGGACCCCAACCCCGGCCAGAAACAGGGCAGGGGGCUGUCAGCCGUCCUGCACCCCCGCUCCCCCCAGGACCCGGGCGCGGGGACCACUUACCGCUCGGCCCGGCCUCCCGGUGCCGCCGCGCGUCCCGGGCGCGUCCGCCGCGCGCUCUCCCUGGGGAGAAAGAGAAACCGUGUAGACGGCCGGCGCGCGCUCACUCGCCGCCUCCUCUGCGGAGAGCGGCGAGGCCGGCCCGAGGCGGGCGCCGAGCGCGGAGCGGAGGGGGGCCCGAGGGAGGCGGGGGUGGAAUCAGCCCAAUUCCCGAGGCUGGCUCCGAGGGGGACCCGGAAUACAGGCUGGCGGGGGGCCGGCGGGGGCCGAGCUCCCGGAGGAGGGGAAGGCGGAGGUGGCCCCGUCCUUGGGCAUCAACUAUUGUCUAGGCGCCCGGGCCCCCGCUCGCGCCGUCCCCGAGGCUCAGCGCCCCCAUCCCGCCCGCCAGCAGAAAGAACUGAGGGGGCGGCCAGUACGGGAAGCAAGUGCGGGGGUCCGGGCUCCGAAGGUCCAAGUCUCGGGUGAGAUCACCACGGAGCGGCUUAGCGCGGCGCACAAGUCUCGCGAGAGAAGCGGCGGCUGGGCCCUGCAGGCGGAGGAAGUGGAAAAAGUCGCGGGAGGGUAGGGGACCGCGGAACUUCUGGUUGCUAUGACGACGGCAAAGCCCUGGAUUCCUGUCUCCUGCGGAGAGCAGAGGCUGCAAACAAAUGAAAAGAGGCUUGCUCAUGACUUGGAAGCGGUGGGCUGAGGCCUCCCAAGACCAUCUGGCUUGUUCCAUUGCCAGCCAGAGUGGAGGCGACAUUCACACGAACCCAGGAGCUGCAGGGGCGCGUGAGCUACAGCUGCCUUGUGGCAUCCAAGGAGUGCGCAACUAGUCUCACUCUGUUGCCCAGGCUGGAGUGCAGUGGCGCGAUCUCAGCUUACUUCAGCCUCCGCCUCCCGGUUUCAAGUGAAUUCUCCAGCCUCAACUUCACAAGUAGCUGGGAUUACAGGGCAUUCAAGCAGCCCUGAGGAGAGGUCCACAUGGUGAGCCACUGAGGGCCUUGCCAAGAGCCAGCACCAACGGUCCAGGUUUGGAGUGUACCACCUUGGAAGUGAAUCUUCCAGUCCAGUCAAGCCUUCAGAUGACUUCAGAACCGUCCAUGUAAGCCACUCUUGGAUUCCUGACCCACAGAAACUGUUGGAGCUGCCAAUUUGCAGGAAAUAGAGGAGAGAAGCAUCUGUUGAACUGCACCAUGAGUAUACACUCAGCAAAGGCCAAACUGUGGAAAAUGAUACAGGUCAAACAGCCUGGAUUCUUUAACAGUGAUGUUUCUGAAGCACCAAUGAAAAUGAAGUCCUGAAGUCCUGUGCUCAAUAUGAAAUGUUGGAAGUUAGAAGAAAAAAACAAAACUUGGAUCCAAUCUCAAGGCACUUUUUGUUUAAUGGGAAGAAGUGGAUUAUUUUAAAAGCUACAAAUAAAGUUACAUAAAAGUAGCAAA